GUAAAAAAUCCUGAAUGGAAUAGAAAUGAAAUACCACAUAGUUGUGGAGAAUUGUGUAGAAAGAAAAGAACAGCUCAAGAUUGUCCACAUUUAUGUAAUAUUCUUUGUCAUCCAGGACCUUGCCCAUCGUGCCCUGCUUUUAUGACCAAAAAAUGUGAAUGUGGACGUACAAGCCAUUCAGUUCGCUGUGGGUAUUCUACUGCAAUUCAGUGUACUAAUAUAUGUGGGAAUGUUUUGAAUUGUGGUAAGCAUAACUGUACCCAGAUAUGCCAUUCAGGAAAAUGCCUGCCAUGUGAAUUGACUAUAAAGCAAGGUAAUGAUUUCAUGAUUUCUUUAAAGUUAUUUAUAAGUAUACUUGUAUGAGAUUUACAGAAUUACUGUUUUUAUAGGACCAAUUUUCUACUACGGUUAGGUCUAGGUAUGCAUAUACAUGUGUGUGUGUGUGUGUGUGUGUGUGCUUGUAUGUAUGUUUGUAUAUAUGUGUGCGAG